GGGUACAGCUCAGUGGUAGAGCACAUGCUUAGCAUGCACAAGGGCCUGGGUUCAAUUCCCAGAAUGUCCA
rnacentral:tRNA from 1 species